CUAGCACGUCUUUCUCCUGCUUCGCUGUCCGUUUUCCCAACCUUGUAGUCCCUAUGGAGAGGGAUGGGAAACCCCUUCAGUUCUAGGAGGCUCAAACAUAAGGACUGGUGAGAGCAGAACAGGACCGGUGGUGUUUCAUUCUGUUGUGCAUCGGGUCACUAUGAGUUGGAAUGGACUAGACCUAACAAGAGAAGUCUGGACUCAAGGUUCCGGCUCCCGAGGAAGUCUUUCUAUCAGCUCUGAAGGAGAGCCCUGGUCUCUUCUGGCUUUCCGUACCUGGCAGUACUGUACAUCUUUUUUCCUGACUCUUCUUUGUUGCUUGUUUAAUGUCGUCUAUAUCUCAGAAGAUAUUGAAUACUGUACAGUGUCUCUGCCUCACUAACAAAAAAGACAACUCACUUCCUGCCAUUUUAACCACAGCCAUAGAGGUUAAGAUUCACAACACACAUUGUCAGAGAGACAUAAGCCAAUCUAACACUCCAAAAAAUGUGUAUACGAUUCAUUAAAUAUUCAUUCCUAAGGGUGCCAGGUACCAUUUUAUAGGGCUGAAAGUACGAUGUGAGAACGUUUUGCAGUACAGGUGAUGAAAAAGAUAGUCUUUGAACAAAAUCAAUUACAUGAUUGGAAAUAUUUAGAGCUGUCUGCCUUCAAACCCUAAUUCUUGAACUGUAUUCUCUGUACCUCUUAAAGCCCAUCUCAUAUUUUCUCAUGGCUUCAAAUAUGCAACUCUUUCUACCUUGCCUGCACUUCUUUUAUUUUACUUCUUAGUCUUCUCAAAAUCUCCACUUGAAUAUCACAUCCUAAAAGCCUUUCUCAUUCAGUACCUGGCCAGUAAUAAACAAUAAAUAUUUUAGCCAUAUCUGCCAUAGCAUUUAAUGAUAUACUUGUUCCAAGUCUCUAUUACUAUAUAAAAACCACCCUUUCUUUUCCUGACCAAUCAGAAAUAUCGUCAGGCCUCGGCAGGGACAGCUUGUUUCUCUUCCACGCAGUGUCGUCAGCGGUGACUCAGAGUUUGGUCUGACUCAGCAGCUGGGGGUUGCACUCACAUGGCUGGCAAUUGCUGUUGGCAUUUGGCUGAGUCAUUGGGGCGGUGAGCCAGAACAACUAUAUACGACCUCCCCAAUGUCAGCUUGGUUUCACUCAGCUAUUGAACAAAUACUAAGAUUGAGAAUUCCAAGGAACAGGAUUCUUAAAAAGUCUGGUAGGGGAAACGGCCAUAUCAUUUCAGUCAUGUACAAGUGGUCACAAAAUCUUCACUUGAGUAGGAGAAAUAGAGCCCACCUCGAUAGAAGGAAAGUGUCAGAAUUUGAGGAAUCUGUUAAAACUACAAUAUUGUAACUUUUUACUCAUAUUUGUUCAAGUUUUCUGUAAAUUGUUGAUCUUUGUAUUUCCAGUCUUUUUACAGGAGCUGUUCCUGUAAACAUUUUGUAGCCAAAUUUAACAUAAGCAAAUCGUACACUAGACAAAAUAUCUGAAACAAUUGACUUCAGACAUGAGAUCAUGGACAAAAUCAGACUCAUCCCAAGUUGCUCAGGGAGCCAUAUCAUUGUCUCUGACUUCUUCCUGCAGUUAGUUUCUGGUCUAACACAAGAAGGGGAACCCCCGAUUAACCAAAGGUCUUACUGUAUUGAAGUUUUUGUGUGUGUCUUUUAUGUAGUCUAGGGGAGGCCACAGAGCUAGAAUCUAGAGGACAGAGUACGAGAAGAAGCUCUGCAGACACUAAAGAGCACCAGAAAUCUUCACAGGCACUCCCUGGAAACCAAAAAGCUUAUCUCAGCUUACAAGGACAGUGCUGUGGGAAAAACUCAAGUGUACAAGUGAGACAAACCUCAUUCUGGACAUCUCACAGAUGAUAAAUGUCGACUCGUCGUGCAUUUGGAGUUCAUUCCACCAGCUACUGUGUCGAUCCUUCUCAUCGAAGGUCUCCCUCUUUUCUGCUGGCUCGCCCCGCCUGAUGAUCAAGUAUAUGAAAUGAAGUGUCACUGUCCUCACGUCUAAGGAGCCCUCGAGUUAUACCUCCACUAAGAGGUGUUUAUUCUGGCAGUCCAUGAUACAUUCCGUGUUCUCCAUCAACACCAUACUUCAAAUACAUCAAAUUUUCUUCUGUCUUCCUUACCCGUUGUCCAAUUUUUCCAUGAAUAUGAGGUAAUUGAAAAUACCAUGGUUCACGGCAGGUCGGCGGCUGUCUGGUCCCUGGGGAUCCUGCUGUACAACAUGGUCUGUGGAGAUAUUCCCUUCGAGCAUGAUGAGGAGAUCAUCAGGGGCCAGGUCUUCUUCAGGCAGAGGGUCUCUUCAGAGUGUCAGCAUCUCAUUAAGUAGUGUUUGGCCCUGAGAUCAUCAGAUCGGCCCUCCUUCGAAGAAAUCCAGAACCACCCGUGGAUGCAAGAUGUUCUCCUGCCCCAGGAAACGGCCGAGAUCCAUCUCCACAGCCUGACGCCGGAGCCCAGCAAAUAGCAGCUCUUCUGGCAGGUCCUCCCUCCCUGUCGGAUGGUCCAGGAGGGGAAGCUUCCCAAGUACCAGUGACACGUUUCACCAAGCAGGACAGGACUUGAUACAGGAACAAUAUUUCCAACUCAUUCCAGAGCCCAGGGCCCCUGGAGGCAGUCUCCACACGGGGAGGAAGAGACUCCACUCCAGGUGGCCUAGGUCUCAGCUCCCCUAGAUGUGCGCUCCCCUCAUUCUGUCCAGGCAUUGCCGGACUUCUGC